UAGGGAAUCUUCCACAAUGGACGCAAGUCUGAUGGAGCAACGCCGCGUGAGUGAAGAAGGUUUUCGGACCGUAAAGCUCUGUUGUUGGUGAAGAAGGAUAGAGGUAGUAACUGGCCUUUAUUUGACGGUAAUCAACCAGAAAGUCACGGCUAACUACGUGCCGGCAGCCGCGGUAAUACGUAGGUGGCAAGCGUUGUCCGGAUUUAUUGGGCGUAAAGCGAGCGCAGGCGGAAGAAUAAGUCUGAUGUGAAAGCCCUCGGCUUAACCGAGGAAUUGCAUCGGAAACUGUUUUUCUUGAGUGCAGAAGAGGAGAGUAGAACUCCAUGUGUAGCGGUGGAAUGCGUAGAUAUAUGGAAGAAUACCAGUGGCGAAGGCGGCUCUCUGGUCUGCAACUGACGCUGAGGCUCGAAAGCAUGGGUAGCGAACAGGAUUAGAUACCCUGGUAGUCCAUGCCGUAAACGAUGAGUGCUAAGUGUUGGGAGGCUUCCGCCUCUCAGUGCU
rnacentral:rRNA from 1 species